UGUUUAGGGACAGUCUCGGGGAGGAAUUGUUCUGAGACACAAAGUAUAAGAAUCUGAAAUACAGGACUGGGUUACUGGAAACAAGACAGUUUGAAAUAAAGACUGGGCGAAGUCUGGGAAGGAACUAAGAUGCACAAAGCUUUACAUCUUUAACAUCUACAUGUUCACAUCUACAUGAAGCCGCUGGGCCUGGUCAUCCAUCAGUUAGGGACAUGAGGCAGAUGCUGGAAGAAAAAGGCCGCAACUAUCAUUAACGUCAACAGCCAAUCAGAGCAGCAUGGGGAUUGGCUGAACUGUGUGGGUCUUAUCUAAAAGCUAUCAAAAAGUCUCAUCAAAAAGUGAUGAAAAGAAGCAGUAGCUGACCUUGACGGAAAGGAGAGCAGUGUCGAGGAAUGUAUCAUAAUUUCUACUGGGAAUGGACAGUGAUGGCAAAUGGAUUCAUGGCGCUGUAACCACAGUGUAUGACCUUAUCCCAGGUGGGAUUUGAUUUCCCUCUCCCACAUCUGUUCCCUCCCCACUGAUAAUUCGUUCACACUUGUGUAGUUUGUCAAACUAUUAAAGAAUCAUUGC